AGUCGAGCGGAUGAAGAGAGCUUGCUCUCUGAUUCAGCGGCGGACGGGUGAGUAAUGCCUAGGAAUCUGCCUGGUAGUGGGGGACAACGUCUCGAAAGGGACGCUAAUACCGCAUACGUCCUACGGGAGAAAGCAGGGGACCUUCGGGCCUUGCGCUAUCAGAUGAGCCUAGGUCGGAUUAGCUAGUUGGUGAGGUAAUGGCUCACCAAGGCGACGAUCCGUAACUGGUCUGAGAGGAUGAUCAGUCACACUGGAACUGAGACACGGUCCAGACUCCUACGGGAGGCAGCAGUGGGGAAUAUUGGACAAUGGGCGAAAGCCUGAUCCAGCCAUGCCGCGUGUGUGAAGAAGGUCUUCGGAUUGUAAAGCACUUUAAGUUGGGAGGAAGGGCAGUAAAUUAAUACUUUGCUGUUUUGACGUUACCGACAGAAUAAGCACCGGCUAACUCUGUGCCAGCAGCCGCGGUAAUACAGAGGGUGCAAGCGUUAAUCGGAAUUACUGGGCGUAAAGCGCGCGUAGGUGGUUUGUUAAGUUGGAUGUGAAAGCCCCGGGCUCAACCUGGGAACUGCAUUCAAAACUGACAAGCUAGAGUAUGGUAGAGGGUGGUGGAAUUUCC
rnacentral:rRNA from 1 species